UUUGUUGUAUGGGGGAGAAAAAAUAUCCGCCCUUUUCCCUAGGAUCUCCCAGAAUUCUUUCGAUAUCUCUCUUCUUACAAUGUAUUUUGAAGAGAAAUACCGCCCCUGUAGAGGUUUUAGUGUACUCUGGAGACGUUUUGUUGGAAUGAUUCCGCCUCUUUGCUGUGGGGAAUCUUAUCGAUUAUUUUGUUUUUCCUGAGGGUGGUUUUUUUUUGCUCCUCUUUGGAAUAACAUCCGCAGUAGUUGUGGUGUAUUAUGGUUUAAACUGAUGGAAAGUAGCAGGGAGGGAUGUGUUGCUAUCCGUCGAUUGUUCAAAAAUGCGUCUAGCUUUAAAAAAGCGUCAGCCAACGUCUUGUAACCGCGUAAGGUCUUACGGCAUAGAAUCGAUUCGAUCAAUAGUUUCUUUCCAUCUCCAGCAGCAGCACACACACAGCUCGACCGUAACAAUAACGAUGCUGCUGCUCUCCAUCCCAUGUAGUACUCGGUUAAGGGAAGAUAGGAGGACCCUCUUUGUUCCGGAUGGCGGGCUUCCAGAGCGUCAUAUACACACCCCCCAAAUGUGUGUAAACCUACCCCAAAAAACUGGUUAUGUUGGGCAAGUUACGUGUGUUAUGGAGGGAGGGUUUAGGUCGUGACGCAACACUCACAUACAUAUCUCUCUCGACCCUCUGAAUGGGCCUAUAGGCUUAAAAAAUAUUCGGUUGUCCCACAUGACCGGAUUUCCUUUCAAAUAUUUUGAUAGGCAAAUUCUGAUGGGAAGUGAGAAAACGCGUUGGCCUGUAAAUGAAUUCAAUCAAACAAGAUGCGGAAGGACAAUGUGUGUGAGAUGGCCUUAUAUAUCGGACAAUGUGUGCGCACAUUGGGAAGGGUGCGCCUCCUCAACCAUCUGCCACCACCGUCUAAUAGAGGGUGGGGGAGAUCGCGUUUCUGGGUCGUGAUCCACUCGAACCGUUUUGGGUCGAAUUUCUUUUUACUAUACGCCGCGAGUUGUGUGUUUGUGUGUUUUUCUACGAUUUUGUUUGGAAUCAUUUCUCAAGGGUUGAGUCGUUUUCAUGUGUCAACUCAUUAACAACAAAGUUCACUUUCUCGAAUUCUCGAAAUGCAAUGAAAUGUUAUAUAGGUGGCGGGUUUUUUGGAGGGAUCAAGAAACUCUCUCUCGCGCUCUGCGCGCGUGGUCCUUUGUGUUGGGAGGCUCUUCUUUGCGCCCGAGGGCGGACCUGACUUUUCACGUGCUUCUUUUUCCCGAACGAAACAAGAAGAAAAACUCUCUAUCGUUCGCUGAUGGAAAUACAAACCAGGAAAGAAGGGCUCACGAACAACGGAUUUUUUCCUUUUUCAAUAAUUUUUCAACACACAGGAGGAAACUGAGCUCUGCCAUUGGUUGGCACGGACACGUCACCUGAAACGCCAUCAGCGCCUCUAUCGGUCGUGGCCUUCCCUUCCAACACCCCAUUCCCUGAUCUCCGGGAAAAUAAUAACAACGCAAUUUCUUCAUGUUGCAAAAUUGUUGCCAUGGUCCGAAAACUUUCCGUGCCAUUUAUUUUUUGACAAGCCGAGUUUCUAUAUGGCUUUCUAUUUUAGAAACGUGUCGCCAAUUUUUCGGGGGAGUAACGAAUUGUUAAUCCUUUUCUCUUUUUUUUGCUCGGUUGGGUAGCCGGUUGCUAGAUGGCCGUGAAAUUAGUCAGGAAUCUUUUUCUGGUGUAGAAAUCUACUUGACGUAUUUUGCAAAGUAUACGUCGAUAUCGAUGUUGCUCAAUGAAACGGAAAUGGAAAAAAAAGUACGCGAUUAGCCUAAUUGAAUUGCCAAAGAAUCGUCGGUCGAUCCGGCAGUCCCUACCAGCGUAGUAACUACACACAACAAAGGCCUUGAGAAAUCGAUAGAAAGAUGGCGCUGGCUUCGCUAGACGACACACAGAGGAGAAGGGGGGAGAUCCCGUUGGUUAGAGAAAGGGAGGGGUGCGUUUGUGUCUUGUAUCCGAGCGGAACGUCAACAGUCGGAGCUGGUUCGUUCUAGAGGAAGGAGCUCUCCUCGUUAUUAUAUUUAAAAACAUUUUUUAAUUCUUCUCAUUUUUCAACCCAAACAAAAAAAUUUUCCUGUCCCAUUUAUUCGAAACGAAAUUAGAAAACCAACGGGGACUUCCUCUGAUUUUUGUUGGUUGAAAUUCGAAACUUUUUUCUUUUGGGAACUCUGCACGUGCCUACGUGUGUGUGUGUGAGUGUGUGUGUGUAUGUAUGUAUGUGUGUGUGUGAAAAAUCCUGCUGAAUCGGUCCUCCCAGCAGCUCCCGACUUGGCUCGUCUCUCACAUCCUGUCCACAAAAACCAGCCAUAUUGAAGGAAAGAUAAAACAACUACAAAGUGGGGCGAGAAAACCGAAAAAGAAAUCGAGAGCUUUAUACAUGUAUGCUUGAUUUAGCUGCUGUACUAUCGAUUUGAGAAGGUUUCCUUUGUGCUAAAUAAGAACAGGAAAGUUGUUGUGUGUUUUUAUUGUGUGUGGAGUUUAGCCCGUCAUGAGCAUCGACGCGCUACUUCAAGCUGCCGAGUACCUGGAACGAAGGGAAAGAGAAGCUGAGCAUGGCUACGCUUCGUCGUUGCCCAUGCCCAUUGAAGAUUACGGGAGUAGCCCGACACCGUCCGGUUCUUCUUCGUCUUCCGCGACGACUUCUUCUACGACUCGACCCAUCAAAAUCAAGAAAAAUCAAGGAAGCCGGUCGACACACAACGAGUUGGAGAAGAACAGGCGAGCUCAGCUGAGAACUUGUUUGGAGAAACUGAAAGAUUUGGUCCCAUUAGGACCCGAAUCGGCCCGCCAUACCACGUUGGGACUGUUGACACGCGCCAAACAUUUCAUCAAGACGCUGGAAGAGCGAGACCGACGUCACCUGCAGCACAAGGAGCAGCUGAAUCGGGAGCAACGUUUCCUGCGGCGGAAGAUGGAGCAGCUGUCGCAGCAAUUUGAACAGUUGUCUUCUUCCAGCCCUGCAAAUUCGGCUGGCAAUAACAUGAAUAAACGGAGGGGCAAUUCGCUAUCCGAGUGCUCCAUUUCGACCACCAUUUCAUCGGCUUCGUCACUGACCUCAUCCGUCUCCUCCGAAACCGGUAUUGCUGCCUACUACGAUGAAGUUGACGUGAUUGGUUAUGGCAGUCACGGCAGUGAUCUGGACGAUCAAUUGAGCGUUCAAUCGGCUUCUAGCGAUUCGGGCAUCGGACUGGGAAACGUGGCCAGUAUCGGCCACUUUCCCCAUCUCUCCAUCACCGACAGCGUUUGAAUGGCGAGGAACCCAUAAAAAUAACAAAAGCGUAACUAAGAAAACAGCAAAACAUAUAUUUUCAUCUCCUUCUUUUCUCUCUCUCUCUCUCUUGUAAGCCACAUAUAGCUAACGUCCACCACCUCCAGCACUGAAAUAACUGCCAUUUCUUUUAUAUCAAAUUAGGAGAGAGAAGAAGAAAAAAAAUCAGGUUUAGGAUCGAGUUUUGUUGUUGGCCUCUAUACGCAGGAAGAAAAAAAAAAACACCGAAAAAUCCGACAGGUUAAAAAACCCAACACAAAACGGCCGUGUCGAUUUUUUCACUUUUUUGAAAUUUUUAUUUUGAAAACUAUUUUUUCCCUUAUCAUAUAUUUUUUUUUUCUUGAGAUUCUUUUGGGCUGACUGGUGAAAGACAGGAAAUGGAUGAUGUCCUAUUGACAAGACGGAAAUGCUUGUUUUUGUGGACUUUGAACGAUCCACUUAACAUAAUUCGGGAAUCGUCGUGUUUGGGACAGCAUCUGGAUCCAUCCGCCCUGCAGUAUAUCUCCCAAAAACCGUGAAGGUGUUCUUAAAAUUACAGUCUGUUUGCUGACACAUUUGUUUAGAAUAGAAUGUUCGGAUUUUCUGCGAUCCUUUCUCGUUAAUUAUUUCAAUUUAUUAAAAGUAAACCUGAUUAAUUGUUAUGAAAUUCUAUCAUUUUCGAACACAUGUAAUAAUACACAUUUCAAUUAU
rnacentral:misc_RNA from 1 species